UCCCUGGUGGCUCAGAGGUUAAAGCGUCUGCCUUCGAUGCGCGAGACCUGGGUUCAAUCCCUGGUCGGGAAG
rnacentral:tRNA from 1 species